CGGGUUGUUUGGGAAUGCAGCCC
rnacentral:siRNA from 1 species